rnacentral:rRNA from 1 species
GUCGAGCGCCCCGCAAGGGGAGCGGCAGACGGGUGAGUAACGCGUGGGAAUCUACCCAUCUCUACGGAAUAACGCAUGGAAACGUGUGCUAAUACCGUAUACGUCCUUCGGGAGAAAGAUUUAUCGGAGAUGGAUGAGCCCGCGUUGGAUUAGCUAGUUGGUGGGGUAAAGGCCUACCAAGGCGACGAUCCAUAGCUGGUCUGAGAGGAUGAUCAGCCACACUGGGACUGAGACACGGCCCAGACUCCUACGGGAGGCAGCAGUGGGGAAUAUUGGACAAUGGGCGCAAGCCUGAUCCAGCCAUGCCGCGUGAGUGAUGAAGGCCCUAGGGUUGUAAAGCUCUUUCACCGGUGAAGAUAAUGACGGUAACCGGAGAAGAAGCCCCGGCUAACUUCGUGCCAGCAGCCGCGGUAAUACGAAGGGGGCUAGCGUUGUUCGGAUUUACUGGGCGUAAAGCGCACGUAGGCGGACUAUUAAGUCAGGGGUGAAAUCCCGGGGCUCAACCCCGGAACUGCCUUUGAUACUGGUAGUCUUGAGUUCGAGAGAGGUGAGUGGAAUUCCGAGUGUAGAGGUGAAAUUCGUAGAUAUUCGGAGGAACACCAGUGGCGAAGGCGGCUCACUGGCUCGA